GGGUCUUUUUCACUUUAUCCCCAAUCAUUUUUUUUAUAACUCGCCUCCCAACCUUUCAAAUAUGUUGUGCCAAAUUACUUUAAUUUUCAGGCAAAUUAUUGGGAUUUUCGGCUGGAUGAAAAACGGAGGAAACAAGGAAAAUGGAGGAGAAUUGCUACUGCGAAGGUGAGCUGUGAAGAAAACAUCUUGGACAGAUCUCAACUCAGGCCGAAGAUAUGCCAUAUGUGAUAUAUUUAGGGGUAGGGGGGUUGCAACAUCUUCUCUUGGCUUGAUCCUCCAAUGUGUGAGCGGUCGCGACAAAUCAUCCUAGGAUUGAUUCGAAGGAUAAACAUGCUCGAAGACGAACAAAAAACAAAAGAAAAAAAAAGGAGAAAGUGAUGUGGGGAUUUGUGUAUUUGCUGUUUUUCAGUGUACAGUAUGAUGUGAAAAACAAGGAAGAAGAGUAGACGAGCAUGUUUUUAGUUUACUCUAUGUUGGCUAAUGUUAGUUUUGGAAAAAGUUGUAUUAUGGCCAAUUUAGUUGUAAAUGUAAGUAUUGUUUAUGAAUGAAAAUGUAAGUUUGUCC